UACAAUGGAGAGUUUGAUCCUGGCUCAGGACGAACGCUGGCGGCGGGCCUAACACAUGCAAGUCUAAGGAGAAUUUCGGAGCAAUCUGAAAGGACACUGGCGCACGGGUGAGUAACGCGUAGGUAACCUACCUUCUGCUGGGGGAUAACAUCGGGAAACCGGUGCUAAUACCGCAUAAAGCAACAGUCACGCAUGUGGCAGUUGUUAAAGAAUUUCGGCAGAAGAUGGGCCUGCGUGUCAUUAGUUAGUUGGUAAGGUAACGGCUUACCAAGACGAUGAUGACUAGGGGGUCUGAGAGGAUGAUCCCCCACACUGGAACUGAGACACGGUCCAGACUCCUACGGGAGGCAGCAGUGAGGAAUCUUGCGCAAUGGGGGAAACCCUGACGCAGCCACGCCGCGUGCCAGAUGAAGGCCCUACGGGUCGUAAAUGGCUUUUGGUCGGGAAGAUAAGCCGGGUUUCGACCUGGUGUGACGGUACCGACUGAAUAAGCACCGGCUAACUCCGUGCCAGCAGCCGCGGUAAUACGGAGGGUGCAAGCGUUGUCCGGAAUCAUUGGGUGUAAAGGGUGCGUAGGCGGAUGUCUAAGUCUGGGGUGAAAUCUUGCAGCUUAACUGUAAAAUUGCCUUGGAUACUGGAUGUCUUGAGUACAGAAGAGGAUGGUGGAAUUCGUAGUGUAGCGGUGAAAUGCAUAGAUAUUACGAAGAACACCGGUGGCGAAAGCGGCCAUCUGGUCUGUUACUGACGCUGAGGCACGAAAGCGUGGGGAGCGAACAGGAUUAGAUACCCUGGUAGUCCACGCCGUAAACGAUGUGUGCUAGUUGUUGGCCUGUAUGGGCCAGUGACGUAGUUAACGCGCUAAGCACACCACCUGGGGAGUACGUUCGCAAGAAUGAAACUCAAAGGAAUUGACGGGGGCCCGCACAAGCGGUGGAGCAUGUGGCUUAAUUCGAUGCAACGCGAAGAACCUUACCUGGGCUAAAUCAUAGUGGAAAUAGCUAGAAAUAGCUAUGCCUUCGGGCCGCUAUGAAGGUGCUGCAUGGCUGUCGUCAGCUCGUGCCGUGAGGUGUUGCCUUAAGUGGCGCAACGAGCGCAACCCCUGUGACUAGUUACCAGCACAUAAUGGUGGGGACUCUAGUCAGACUGCCUACGCAAGUAGUGAGGAAGGUGGGGACGACGUCAAGUCAUCAUGGCCCUUACGUCCAGGGCUGCACACGUGCUACAAUGGUCAGUACAGAGGGCUGCCACCUGGUGACAGGGAGCAAAUCCAUAAAGCUGGCCUCAGUUCGGAUUGUAGUCUGCAACUCGACUACAUGAAGUUGGAAUCGCUAGUAAUCGCGUAUCAGCUACGACGCGGUGAAUACGUUCCCGGGCCUUGUACACACCGCCCGUCAAGCGAUGGAAGUGAGGAGUACCUAACGUCGCCGUGCCAACCGCAAGGAGGCAGGCGCCUAGGGUAAGCUUCAUAACUGGCGCUAAGUCGUAACAAGGUAGCCGUACCGGAAGGUGCGGCUGGAUCACCUCCUUUCUGGA
rnacentral:rRNA from 1 species